rnacentral:rRNA from 51 species
GACACGACUCUCGGCAAUGGAUAUCUCGGCUCUCGCAUCGAUGAAGAGCGCAGCGAAAUGCGAUACUU